UCCCUCAUAGCUAAGUUGGUAAAGAAUCUGCGUGCAGUGCAGGAGACCUGGGUUCAACCCCUGGUUCGGGAA
rfam:Ovis aries breed Texel chromosome 13, whole genome shotgun sequence.